AAUGCUGGAGACUUAUAGCAACCUCUUGUCCUUGGGGCACUGUGUUCCUAAACCUAAACUGAUUGUGAAGCUGGAACAAGGUGCAGAACCAUGGAUAACAGAAGGCUCAGAAGAGAAUUUCACAGAUGUCCCAGAAAUGGAGGAUGUGAUUAGCACCUGUCAGGAAAGUCACAAUAAAUAUCUAUCUGAAGUAGCCGUCAUGAAUAGUAACC